GAUGAACGCUGGCGGCGUGCCUAAUACAUGCAAGUCGAGCGAACAGAUGAGGCGCUUGCUCCUCUGACGUUAGCGGCGGACGGGUGAGUAACACGUGGAUAACCUACCUAUAAGACUGGGAUAACUUCGGGAAACCGGAGCUAAUACCGGAUAAUAUAUUGAACCGCAUGGUUCAAUAGUGAAAGACGGUUUUGCUGUCACGUAUAGAUGGAUCCGCGCCGCAUUAGCUAGUUGUUAAGGUAACGGCUUACCACGGCGACGAGGCGUAGACGACCUCAGAGGCUGGUAGGCGACCUUGGAGCUGAGACACCGACCAGACUCCUACGGGAGGCAGCAGUAGGGAAUCUUCCGCAGUGGGCGAAAGCAUGACAGAGCAACGCCGCGUGAGUGAUGAAGGUCUUCGGAGCGUAAAGAUCUGUUAUUAGUGAAGAACAAAUGUGUAAGUAACUAUGCCCGGCGUGACGGUACCUAGUCAGAAAGCCACGGCUAACUACGUG
rnacentral:rRNA from 1 species